rnacentral:rRNA from 1 species
UUAUGUAUCAUAUACUCUGAAUGUGUCAUAGAAUGUUCAUGUUGCCUUAAAACGCAAUCAAAUACAACUUUCAACAACGGAUCUCUUGGCUCUCGCAUCGAUGAAGAACGCAGCGAAAUGCGAUAAGUAAUGUGAAUUGCAGAUUUUCAGUGAAUCAUCGAAUCUUUGAACGCACCUUGCGCUCCUUGGUAUUCCGAGGAGCAUGCCUGUUUGAGUGUCAUUAAAUUCUCAACCCCACCGAUUUGCUUCGGGGGGAUUGGACUUGGAGCGUGCUGGCGAAGGUCGGCUCCUCUUUAAAUGCAUCAGUGGAGAGAAACUUGCCCCAGUGUGAUAAUCCUGUUGCGCUGUGGUGGGUGAAAGUCUGCUUCCAACCGUCCCUCCGGGGACAUAUGUCAUCUUAUUUUGACCUCAAAUCAGGUAGGACUACCCGCUGAACUUAAGCAUAUCAAUAAGCGGAGGAA